rnacentral:rRNA from 1 species
GAUGAACGCUGGCGGCGUGCCUAAUACAUGCAAGUCGAGCGAACGGACGAGAAGCUUGCUUCUCUGAUGUUAGCGGCGGACGGGUGAGUAACACGUGGAUAACCUACCUAUAAGACUGGGAUAACUUCGGGAAACCGGAGCUAAUACCGGAUAAUAUUUUGAACCGCAUGGUUCAAAAGUGAAAGACGGUCUUGCUGUCACUUAUAGAUGGAUCCGCGCUGCAUUAGCUAGUUGGUAAGGUAACGGCUUACCAAGGCAACGAUGCAUAGCCGACCUGAGAGGGUGAUCGGCCACACUGGAACUGAGACACGGUCCAGACUCCUACGGGAGGCAGCAGUAGGGAAUCUUCCGCAAUGGGCGAAAGCCUGACGGAGCAACGCCGCGUGAGUGAUGAAGGUCUUCGGAUCGUAAAACUCUGUUAUUAGGGAAGAACAUAUGUGUAAGUAACUGUGCACAUCUUGACGGAACCUAAUCAGAAAGCCACGGCUAACUACGUGCCAGCAGCCGCGGUAAUACGUAGGUGGCAAGCGUUAUCCGGAAUUAUUGGGCGUAAAGCGCGCGUAGGCGGUUUUUUAAGUCUGAUGUGAAAGCCCACGGCUCAACCGUGGAGGGUCAUUGGAAACUGGAAAACUUGAGUGCAGAAGAGGAAAGUGGAAUUCCAUGUGUAGCGGUGAAAUGCGCAGAGAUAUGGAGGAACACCAGUGGCGAAGGCGACUUUCUGGUCUGUAACUGACGCUGAUGUGCGAAAGCGUGGGGAUCAAACAGGAUUAGAUACCCUGGUAGUCCACGCCGUAAACGAUGAGUGCUAAGUGUUAGGGGGUUUCCGCCCCUUAGUGCUGCAGCUAACGCAUUAAGCACUCCGCCUGGGGAGUACGACCGCAAGGUUGAAACUCAAAGGAAUUGACGGGGACCCGCACAAGCGGUGGAGCAUGUGGUUUAAUUCGAAGCAACGCGAAGAACCUUACCAAAUCUUGACAUCCUUUGACAACUCUAGAGAUAGAGCUUUCCCCUUCGGGGGACAAAGUGACAGGUGGUGCAUGGUUGUCGUCAGCUCGUGUCGUGAGAUGUUGGGUUAAGUCCCGCAACGAGCGCAACCCUUAAGCUUAGUUGCCAUCAUUAAGUUGGGCACUCUAAGUUGACUGCCGGUGACAAACCGGAGGAAGGUGGGGAUGACGUCAAAUCAUCAUGCCCCUUAUGAUUUGGGCUACACACGUGCUACAAUGGACAAUACAAAGGGCAGCGAAACCGCGAGGUCAAGCAAAUCCCAUAAAGUUGUUCUCAGUUCGGAUUGUAGUCUGCAACUCGACUACAUGAAGCUGGAAUCGCCAGUAAUCGUAGAUCAGCAUGCUACGGUGAAUACGUUCCCGGGUCU